rnacentral:rRNA from 1 species
UACCAGCACCCCGAGUGGUCGGGACGAUUAUUGGGCCUAAAGCAUCCGUAGCCGGUCAUGCAAGUCCUCCGUUAAAUCCACCUGCUUAACAGAUGGGCUGCGGAGGAUACUACAAGGCUAGGAGGCGGAAGAGGCAAGCGGUACUCAGUGGGUAGGGGGUAAAAUCCUCUGAUCCAUUGAAGACCACCAGUGGCGAAGGCGGCUUGCCAAUACGCGCUCGACGGUGAGGGAUGAAAGCUGGGGGAGCAAACCGGG